rnacentral:rRNA from 1 species
UCGAGAAUUUUUGACAAUGGGGGAAACCCUGAUCGAGCGACGCCGCGUGGAGGAUGAAGGUCUUCGGAUUGUAAACUCCUGUCAUUGGGGAACAAUGCGUGACGGUUAACUGCCGUUGCGUUGAUAGUACCCGAAGAGGAAGAGACGGCUAACUCUGUGCCAGCAGCCGCGGUAAUACAGAGGUCUCAAGCGUUGUUCGGAUUCAUUGGGCGUAAAGGGUGCGUAGGCGGCGCGGUAAGUCGGGUGUGAAAUCUCGGGGCUUAACUCCGAAACUGCAUUCGAUACUGCCGUGCUUGAGGACUGGAGAGGAGACUGGAAUUUACGGUGUAGCGGUGAAAUGCGUAGAUAUCGUAAGGAAGACCAGUGGCGAAGGCGGGUCUCUGGACAGUUCCUGACGCUGAGGCACGAAGGUCAGGGGAGCAAACGGGAUUAGAUACCCCCGUAGUCC